AAAGGAGCUCACUAAACCAACCUCCCCAGCAGAACAGAAAGAGAGCAUGGGUCGCUGUCAGAAAUUAUUGUUCAACUAGACCAGCCAGUUCUCACGCUGUUGUCAUGGGCCAGCCUAGGAAGCCAGUUUCUCCACUUACCUUGGAGCUUCAUGCUAUCAGAACCAAAGCAUCUAAAAGCAGAAACCAGCAACUCAAGUUAGAACUGGAUGCAAAAGUGUCAGGUCUCCACGGGAUGAAUGGUUUUCUCCUUGUGUAUACCUGGAGACCAGGAAGCUUCCAGAAGGCUGAAAACAUUUGCGCUCACACAACCACUUUGCCUCUGACCUCUGCUUCAGUCUCCAUGUUUUCUCUCCUCCUAGAAUCUUCUGACUCCUGCGGCUGUUUACCAUAUCCAGGCUAGGCCCCAGCAGCUGCAGCCAUAGAGGAGGACUAAGUAGUGAUAUACUCUCUCAGGUGUCAUUCUAAGAACUGCCAUCACCGUCACGGAGCUGCUGUGACACCCAUCUCUCAUCUUUGUACUUCUUCCAUGGUGUCUGAUGACAUCAGAAUUUUCUUUGAGGAAAAUUGAAAAAGAAUUCAUUGAACUCUCAGCCCCAAACCACAGAUACUCUAUGCUGAUGGAGAAGAAGAGGCGAGAAGAAGGAGAGAGAAGGAGAAGGAUGUGCCCUGGCAACUAUCACCAGGAAACUGAUCUCACCAGAGAAAGGAUUUCUGGACAUACCUGGAUGGCUUCUUCCUGAUGGAGUGGAGAAAGAAAGUUUGGUAGAAUUACUUUCUUUUAUUUUCAAGUCGCAUUCUUGUUGCAAGGUCAAAUAUCCCUCCAGGUUUGUCAAGGACUGUGGGAUUUCUGGGACCCAGGACUUCGCACAGCUGAAGUCAGGAGAGUUUCUGACAAACUGACAUGAGUUAACCACAGGCGCCGUAACUCACUAACACGGAAAUGUCUCCUGAGAGAGGCAAUCAAAGACUGUUGGAUGGAAUGAGAAACCCUGCAGUGGCUUAGACUUCUGUGUAGUGCUCUGCAUUUUACAGAAUGUGGCUGUUCGUACAAAGCGACUCACUUAAUGCUAUUGAUGCUCCAAGCAAGCAAAGGCAUUAGCUACUUUCGUGCUGCUGUGACCCAAAUCUCUGAGAGUAUGCAUUUAGCUCCCAGUUUCAGACACGUUACUCCACUGUUGCAGGGAGGCUGUGACAGAGCAGUUCACAGCAUGGUGGCCAGAGAACACUCAGCAAGAUUCAGCUUCCAUGAACAUACCUCUCUGGUGGCCUGAUUCUUCCAAUAGGCCCCACCUCCCAACUUCACCAUCAUACUGGCAAUCCAUCACGAGGUGAAUCCUUUCGUGAGCGCAGAACCCUUCCUAUCUUGCCACAUCUGACUGUGUUCUCACAGAGACCCCCAAGAUGUGUUUUGUCUGUUGCCUAGGUGCUUCUCAUUUAAUAAAGUUGAUAAUUCUCCAUAGUAGGCCCUCACAAAGUUGAUAAUUCCCCAUAGUAGGCCCUCACAGUUACCAUCUUGUCUCUGGUGCAGGCACUGCUCCGUGUCUGCUAUUCCAUCUCCCUGCUUCCCCAGGCUGAGGUUAGAGAUGUGAUAUAUUCAGCUCCUUCUGCCUUGGCGUCUCCAAGGACAGCAUGCGGAAUAGAGAACACCAACAACUGAAAAGUAUUUUUAAACCAGUGUUGCGUCUGGCAUCUCUGUCCAGUAAACACUUUUGGCUAGUUGAUACCACCUCUCCUACACGGAGGGUGAUUAAGCCAUGGCAUGUGUUAUUUUAUUUUUAUUUUUUAAUAUAACAUGUAAACUCUUUUGGAGUUUGAAUUGAAAUGCUUACAGCAUAGAAAAAUUCCUGUCGUUAAUCUUAGAAAAGUUGCAAGGAUUCUGAUGGAUCCAUACCUUUAGAAAGGAGCCUAUGCAAACAGCAUCUUUUCUAAGCCAUCCAAGCGUCCUUGCUUAAAAUGUGACCGUCACUCCAAUUGAGAAACUGCUUACAUAGAAAAAAAAGCAGGGCUGUGUCAUCUCUAGUCAUCUACCAACCUUUCUAUGGUAGCAACCUAAUAUUAAUAGUAAUACUUGUUUUAAUGAGUUACAAGUUUUAGUAGUGGUCUUCCCCAAAUAGAAAUCAUUAUAUAAAAAAUAAAACUGAGGUAAAUUUAGACAUGACAAAGAAACCAUCAGAAUUCUUCUAUAUAAGCACUUUCGUAUUUAUUUGGUUAUUGAAAAAUAGAGAUUUUAAAGAUUCCUGCUUUUAGAAGAACUAAAAUAAGCAGUAUUUAUAUCUGUGUUUGCAUAUAUCCUAUAUAUGUGUUGUCAGAUCUUUUACUAAAAGUUCAUUUAUCACUAUAAAGGAUAAGAAAAGUC